CCUACGGGUGGCAGCAGUGAGGAAUAUUGGUCAAUGGGCGGAAGCCUGAACCAGCCAAGUAGCGUGCAGGAUGACGGCCCUACGGGUUGUAAACUGCUUUUAUACGGGAAUAACGCGCCUUACGUGUAGGGCUUUGCAUGUACCGUAUGAAUAAGGACCGGCUAAUUCCGUGACAGCAGCGGCGGUAAUACGGAAGGUCCGGGCGUUAUCCGGAUUUAUGGGGUUUAAAGGGAGCGUAGGCCGCAGUUCAAGCGUGAUGUGAAAUGUCCGGGAUCAACCCGGGCCUUGCAGCGCGAACGGGCGUGCUUGAGUCCGCGGAAAGCAGGCGGAAUUCGUCGUGUAGCGGUGAAAUGCUUAGAUAUGACGAAGAACCCCGAUUGCGAAGGCAGCUUGCUGCAGCGGAACUGACGCUGAUGCUCGAAAGCGCGGGUAUCGAACAGGAUUAGAUACCCUUGUAGUC
rnacentral:rRNA from 1 species